rnacentral:lncRNA from 10 species
UCUCGCUCUGUCCCGCUGCCUGGAGUGCAGUGGCGCGAUCUCGGCUCACUGCAAGCUCCGCCUCCCAGGUUCGCGCCAUUCUCCUGCCUCAGCCUCCCGAGUAGCUGGGACUAUAGGCGCCCUCUACCGCGCCCAGCUAAUGUUUUUUUGUUUUUGUAUUUUUAGUAGAGACGGGGUUUCACCGUGUUAGCCAGGAUGGUCUCGAUCUCCUGACCUCGUGAUCCGCCCGCCUCGGCCUCCCAAAGUGCUGGGAUUACAGGAGUGAGCCACCGCGCCCGGCCACGUAGUUUGACUUCUAAGAGCACUACAGCUCUGCUGAAGAUGUGGUUUGUCAGCUGACUGAUUAUUCUCUGCUGUUCUGGAUAGUCUUCUAUGUACAAAACUAGAGAUGAGUGGACUUUUCGUGUGCUGUGUGGUGGAUGUGACUCAGGUCAUAGCCACUGCUCUGAAAAGUGAUGGAGUCAGGGAGCCAUCAUCCAGCCUCACCUCCUGGGUUGUCAACCUACAUUUUUGGAGCCAGCUCAUUCUUUGAGGUUUCUCUAAGUCCCCAUAUAUUACAAGAAUCUCGGAUACAUUACUUGAGGACAGUAUAGAUUCCAGAAGAGCUGCUAUUCAUGUUGACCAACAGUCUUAAGCAGAAAGAAAUAGCUUCUGGAAAAAUAACUGUAAGUGUAACUAAAUUCUCUGGAGAAACCUAUUCUUUCUUUGUGGUCUUUUUGCAUCUUCUUAAUUUUUGUUUUCAUGUAUACAUUUUUGAUAUGGUUUUGGACAUUUGUCCCUCAAAUCUCAUGUGGAAAUGUGAUCUCCAGUGUGGAAGGUGGGCCUGGUGGGAAGUAUCUGGGACAUGGGAGUGGAUCCCUCAUGAAUGGUUU